CUCAAUUAAACUAGUUAAAGCAAUAAUAAAGCAAAACCUUUAUGGACUUAAGGAAGAGAGUUUCAUUUAUCUGAAAUAAUCAUUUAUAUAGAGAAGUGAAUUCUCAGAUAAUUUCUUCAUUCAAUGAGUCAGGGAUGGGCACAGUCUGGCCUGUGGGCCGAACUGGGCCAUGCAUUCAUCAUACAUUGCUUUUGGCUGCUUUUGGGCUACAAUGCAGAGUAGCAGAAUAGUUGAGUAGUUGCAACAAGACUAUAUGGUCCGCUAGCCUGAAAUAUUUGCUAUUUGGCCCUUUACAGAAAGAGUUUGCUGACCCCUGCAUUAGAUAAUUAUUGUGCAUCUCCAAUGUGCCUGCUACUUUGCUCCAAAUGUGCCACAAGCCAACUUGAUGCCCACCUCUCUGGAGCCCUAACAGUCAGAGGCAUCACAGCAUCUUCUAAAGCGGACAUUCACGAAAAGUCGCCCUGUGGACUUGGGGAGAGGAGAGCGUCUGACUUGUUGGCACACUUUGCCGAUGCAGCAGUGGGGUCUGUGGGGUUGGCUGUGAUAGCUGUGCUCCAGGCUGCAGGUCAAGUUCAGAUCUGUUCCUGUGGCUUUCCUUUUGGGGGCCAGGAACCUUCAGCCUUCAGGAAAGCCAUCAUAUAUGUGCACUGCCUUGAGAAGAAUCGUUUGCCUGAACUGAUAAAGAAGAAAAAGCCAAUAUUCUUUUGCUUCAUGGUGAGGCAGAGAGGAAGACUGUAA
rnacentral:lncRNA from 1 species